rnacentral:rRNA from 1 species
UUGGAGGGCAAGUCUGGUGCCAGCAGCCGCGGUAAUUCCAGCUCCAAUAGCGUAUAUUAAAGUUGUUGCAGUUAAAAAGCUCGUAGUUGAAUUUCGGGAUCAAUGUUUCGGUCAUGCCGUUGGUAUGUACUGAUAUUAUUGGUUUCUCGCCUUCUAAAGAACCGUAAUGCCAUUAAUUUGGUGUCACGGGGAAUUAGGACUGUUACCUUGAAAAAAUUAGAGUGUUUAAAGCAAGCUUACGCUUGAAUACAUUAGCAUGGAAUAAUGAAAUAGGACAUCAGAUUCUAUUUUGUUGGUUUCUAGGAUCGAUGUAAUGAUUAAUAGGGAUAGUUGGGGGCAUUAGUAUUCAAUUGUCAGAGGUGAAAUUCUUGGAUUUAUUGAAGACUAACUACUGCGAAAGCAUUUGCCAAGGAUGUUUUCAUUAAUCAAGAACGAAAGUUAGGGGAUCGAAGACGAUCAGAUACCGUCGUAGUCUUAACCAUAAACUAUGCCGACUAGGGAUCGGAUGAUGUUAAUUUUUUAAUGACUCAUUCGGCGCCUUACGGGAAAC